rnacentral:rRNA from 1 species
GACAGAGGUGGCAAGCGUUGUUCGGAUUUACUGGGCGUAAAGAGCGCGUAGGCGGUUGCAUAUGUCAGAUGUGAAAUCCCAGGGCUUAACCCUGGAAUGGCAUUUGAAACUGUGCGACUUGAGGACAGGAGGGGGAAGUGGAAUUCCCGGUGUAGCGGUGAAAUGCGUAGAUAUCGGAGGAACACCGGUGGCGAAGGCGGC